CCCUUAGAUGUUCUGGGCCGCACGCGCGCUACACUGAUACAUGCAACGAGUUUAUAACCUUGAUCUGACGGUCUGGGUAAUCUUCAAACUGUAUCGUGUUAGGGAUCGAUUCUUGCAAUUUUUAAUCGUAAACGAGGAAUUCCUAGUAAACGCAAGUCAUCAGCUUGCAUUGAUUACGUCCCUGCCCUUUGUACACACCGCCCGUCGCACCUACCGAUUGAAUGGUCCGGUGAAAUCUCGGGACGGCGGCUUGGUCGCUUGCGUCCGACUGCUGAAACUUGAUUAAACCAUAUCAUUUAGAGGAAGGUGAAGUCGUAACA
rnacentral:rRNA from 1 species